rnacentral:ncRNA from 1 species
AAUAAAGAUCUGGUUGUUGAGAUAUUUAAUAAAUUCAUUGCGUGGAGCAUUUGGCGAAAUUUGGCUUGUUUAGUGGUGUGGCUCAUUUAGUGGUGAACUACCUUAAUCUUCACUGGCUGUAGAGAGAACCAGAACUUUUACUGUGAAAAAAUUAAAGUGUUCAAAGCAAGCCUUUGCUCAGAUGCAUUAGCAUGAAAUAAUAGAAUAGAACAUGUGGUUCUAUUUUGUUGGUUUCUAGGACUGCUGUAAUAAUUAAUAGAGAUAAUCAGAAGUGUCAGUAUUUGGCUGUCAGAGAUGAAAUUCUUGGAUUUACUGAAGACUAACUACUGUGAAAGUAUUUGCCAAGAAUGUUUUCAUUAAUUAGUAAAUAAAAGUUAGAGGAUUGAAGAUAAUCAGAUACUGUUGUAGUCUUAACUAUAAACUAUACUGACUAGAGAUUGAAUGAGCAAUUUUGAAUAAUCCAUUCAGCAUCUUACAAGAAAUCAAAGUUUUUGGGUUCUGGGGGGAGUAUGAUCACAAGGCUGAAACUUAAAGAAAUUAAUAAAAGAGCACCACCAGGUGUGAAGUCUGUGGCUUAAUUUAACUCAAUAUGGGGAAACUCACCAGAUCCAGACAAAAUAAGGAUUGACAGAUUGAGAGCUCUUUCUUGAUCUUUUGAAUAGUGGUGCAUGGCUGUUCUUAGUUAAUGAAGUGAUUUGUCUGCUUAAUUAUAAUAAUAAAUGAGACCUUAACCUGCUAAAUAGUCUGACCCAUGUUUGUGGGCUGCUGGCUUCUUAGAGAGACUAUUGACUCAAGCUGAUGGAAGUUUGAGACAAUAACAGAUCUGUAAUGUUCUUAAAUAUUCUGGACUGCAUGUGUGCUACACUAACAGGGCCAGUGAGUAUAUCAUCUUAACUGAGAGAUCUGAAUAAUCUUGUUAAACUCUGUUAUGCUGGAGAUAGAGCAUUGUAAUUAUUGCUUUUCAAUAAGAAAUGUCUAGUAGACACAAGUCAUCAGCUUGUACUGAUUAUAUUCCUGCUCUUUGUACACACCACUCAUUACUACUACUGAUUGAAUAACUUAGUAAGACCUUCAGACUAGCUCAGAAAGAUUGGCAAUAACUAUCCAGAGCUGGAAAGUUGGUCAAACUUGAUUAUUUAGAGAAAGUAAAAGUUGUAACAAGAUUUCUGUAGAUAAAUCUGCAGAAGAAUCAUUA